CCUACGGGAGGCAGCAGUGGGGAAUAUUGCACAAUGGGGGAAACCCUGAUGCAGCGACGCCGCGUGAGUGAAGAAGUAUUUCGGUAUGUAAAGCUCUAUCAGCAGGGAAGAAAAUGACGGUAUCUGAUGAAGAAGCCCCGGCUAACUACGUGCCAGCAGCCGCGGUAAUACGGAGGGGGCAAGCGUUACUCGGAUUUACUGGGUGUAAAGGGAGCGUAGACGGUGGGACAAGGCUGGAGUGAAAUGCCGGGGCUUAACCCCGGGACUGCCUUUGAAACUGGUCAGCUAGAGUGCAGGAGAGGUGAGUGGAAUUCCUGGUGUAGCGGUGAAAUGCGUAGAUAUUAGGAAGAACACCAGUGGCGAAGGCGGCUUACUGGGCUGUUACUGGCGUUGAGGCUCGAAAGCGUGGGGAGCAAACAGGAUUAGAUACCCGUGUAGUC
rnacentral:rRNA from 1 species